rnacentral:lncRNA from 1 species
CUGAUUUUAGCAUUAAAAUCCUUGGCUCCAAGUCCUGGAUCUGCCUUUUAUAAGACAUUCAAGGUGCCAGCCUGUUUCCUUAACUGUAAAGUGGAUGACCCUGACCCCACCCAUCCUCAGAACAGGAUGUGUCACCACAUCACAGAGGACGCCCAGCUUGGUGCCAGACGCAGACCAGAGACAGGCACGAGGCACGUCAGGGAGCUUCAGUGCUGAGGCCGGAGGCUCGGGCAUGAGGGCUAUGGGCCUCAGGUGUGCCCAGGAGCCCGGGUGGGGCCGUGCCCUUGGACCUGCCCAGCCAGCCCAGCCAGUCCUAGUGCAGCCACCCUCAGAGCAAACAGCCCGGGAGCGCGCCCUGCCAGACGCUGAACAUGCUUCUGAGCCACGUCACGGUUUCGCGAGCUGACUUCCGCCGCCCCCAGGAGCCUCCCCAGAUACGCUCUGCUCAGAUUUGCUCUUUUAACCUCUACUCCAUACUGCUUGUUCAAGCUGUUCAAGCAGUUAUGCGGAAAUGGGCUUGUACAGUCUUUGGGCCACCUUCUCACACGGGCUCUAAUGUCCACUCUGAGGCACGCCCAGCAGGAAGGCCAUCUCAGGAAUAUGCAGACCUCCCCUGGACGGAAUUCAUCACCAAACAGGCUCAUCCUCAGACGGAGCCGAGCUGCUCCCCACCACACAGCCUGCUGGACGCACAGAAUUGUGUCCUCCCUGUCACUCAGCUCAUCUCACGUCCUUCUCGGAACUCUGCUCUCUGCGGGCCGAUGGCCCCCUGCCUCACCAGCUGCUGUCCCCAAACCUUCUCCAGUGUCCUCGAGCCUGCACUGCCCCACACUGGCCAUCGUGUCGCCUGAGGACUGGGGGUAGGGAAGGGCAGCCGCCCCUCUCUUUUCCCAGGUCCUGGCUCCCGCUGUGGCUGGGCUGGCAGGGACUCUCACCCCUGGUCCUUUUGGAACCUGUGGAAAACCAGCUCCCCUCAUCCCCGUCUACUUGGAUGACUGGUGUUAGUGCCCCCAGUUACAAGAUGCUACAUUUUCCCUUGUAAAAUUUUCUCUUUUCCUUUUCUACCCUGACAAACUGUUUUGAAUCCUGACUCAGAGCUAUUUACUAUCCUUCCCAGGGCUGGGUCAUCUAUAGCCCAGAGAAGUCUCCUUCAGGGUAUUUAUUUUAAAGACAAAUAAAAUACAUUGCUUUGCAGGACAGAUUUACGUUCCCUCACCCGUGCUUGUCCAGGUUAGUCCCGAAGUGCUGAGUGAGGGGCUGCAGUCCCCCUGGACGGCCUGGGAAUGUGCAUGCAGGCUUUGCUCUGUGAAGAGGGCGCAGGGGAUCCACUAGCACCUCUACUGUUGGGAGCUUCAUGUCACACAGUGAUCUGGUUCCAUGUCUCUGUUCCCAGUGUGAAGAGCACUGCUGAGAAGCGUAGAGUUGGAAAUAGAGACAUGGGGUUCUUUACCUCUCUCUGUGACAUGAACACUCCCGCCUUCCCUUCGUAGAGAAGCGUUACGUUUUGUUCUCUUGCUCCAGACAGACGAGGAAGGAACCAAACACCCAACCUUGGUGCUCACAGGGACUCCUCCACAGCCGCUGCUCGUUCAGGGUUUCUGUCCUUCUGGGCAUCCUGACACACCAUGGUGUAUCCCCGCCAACACAUCCUACAGAUGGGAACCGUCAGGAGGCCCUCGGAAAUCUAAGCUCAUCUGUCCACUGUGGCUACUGCCUU